GAUUAAGGGUGAAAAUAGCCAAAUCCAAGAACCAGGCGACCUUCCAGUCUCCCUGAUGCGUGGUCUCUGUAGUUCUGAGA
ensembl:snoRNA